CUCAGCAGAGCAGAGCAGGCCCCAGCCCCAAGAGCAAGUCCUCGGGCAAAAGAGGUGAAGAUUCUGGCAUUUGUGAGUUUGGCCGGUGUGUGCUACGGUGGCAGGCCCUCAGGCAUACAGGCAGGAGGAGGAGAGUGUCCCUACAGCAGGCAGAAGAUCUCCGACCCUGAAAGCCAAAGGAGACGUAGUGAGCGUUACCAGAAAGAAGGCAGCAUGGAGAGUGAGUUUAGGAGAAUCUGAAAUCUGUGAUGUUCUCCUUCCAUUCCGACCACAAUUCAAGGACGUGGUCCUUGUUCCCAGUGGAGGACAUAGACGGCCAAUGUCAACCCACACAACACUCCCCCCCCCACCCCAGAAAGUGAACCCAGGGUUAUGCCUGACUGCUGACUUGAUGACUAUCAUUCUAGAACAUUCUUUCCCUCUCAAGAAAGCACAAGGGAAGACCAGUGAGUGAGAGAGAUGUUAUUACAGGGAUACCCUUGAAUGUAGUCUAAUUUCUUGAAGCAGAUGAUUUGACAUUUGUGUAUCUUAUCGUUAAUAACAAAUUUUGUGCGAGGCCACUCACAGCUGAUGGGGACGCAUUCAUUGAGAACCGCUAUUCUGUAUGCCACCAAAAAGAAAUGUUUGCUUUCUUUUUGCAUCCAGGGCAGCAAACUUCCUGGAAAUGGUCUGUGUGCAUGCCUGGCUAACUUUCCAUCCGUUGAUCAAUAAAUCAAUCAACAAAUAUUGAUCAAGUGUC